rnacentral:rRNA from 1 species
AACGUGGGUAACCUGCCUUAUAGUGGGGGAUAGCCUUUCGAAAGGAAGAUUAAUACCGCAUGAGAUUGUAGUAUCGCAUGAUAUAGCAAUUAAAGGAGCAAUCCGCUAUAAGAUGGACCCGCGUCGCAUUAGCUAGUUGGUGAGGUAAUGGCUCACCAAGGCGACGAUGCGUAGCCGACCUGAGAGGGUGAUCGGCCACAUUGGGACUGAGACACGGCCCAGACUCCUACGGGAGGCAGCAUG